rnacentral:lncRNA from 1 species
CCUUGGCAAAUGGAAGUUCCCAGGCUAGGGGUCAAACUGGAGCUGCAACUGCUGGCCUACAUCAAAGCCACAGCAAUUCAUGAUCUGAGCUGCGUCUAUGACCCACACCACAGUUCAUGUCAAUGCUGAAUCCUUAACCCACUAAGCAAGGCCAGGGAUCAAACCUGCAUCCUUACGAAUAAUUCAUCACCAUUGCACCACCACAGGAACUCCAGAAUGCAUAUCACUUUAAAAACUUGUAAUGAAGAAAAACAUUAAGCACGAAUAAUGGAUGAAGGAAUUCUCUACUGGACAGUCCCUGUUCCCGUGAAGUGUCCCUGGCAUUAAAAAGAGGACACAUUCUGUAAAGGUACAGACUGCAUAUAAAUAAGAGCUAAAGAGAGGUGGUCUGAUUCAACAGAGGAAGCACCCAGGCUGAUGUUCUGGUUCUGCUACUUCUGUCUGACCUUGGACUUAAUAAGAUCACUUGACUUUUCCAAGCCUCUUAUGCCUCAUCUUCAAAAUGGGCCUUGAGGUUUUGUGGAAACCAAAGGAUACCAUGUGGGUCAGAGGACUCUGUCUACUUGAAGGCCCCUACGGAACCCUUAUGUAUUAACAAUCAAAUUUUCAAAUUAAAAUACUCUAGUGUAUUUUUCUUCCACUGCAGCCAGCAAACUGUCACUAUUAUACCUGGAGUGGGUGAUCAAGCACAAGAAGUUCCCAAAGUUCUAUUUCUGCUGUGAGGGAAAAAUGGAAAUAACUGGGCAAUGUUGGUACAUCCUAAGCCAAACAUAUAUAUAUGGCAUAUAUGGCAGGCGUACUGGACCAUGAAGUUAAUGAUGGCUACUAUCUUCCUUUGAGUUAAUGAUGCUUACUGCUAAUUGCUAUAAUCAAGAAAGUCUUAGCCAUUUAGAUAAUCAAGACAUUUUUCAAUUCAUAUGCAAGAUCAGUGUUUAGCAAAGAGAAGACAAAGCAGCAGGUAACCUUGAAAGUGGCAAUCAGGGCGUUUCUGUCUCAGCGCAGUAGCAACGAACUCAACUAAUAUCCAUGAGGAUGUGGGUUCAAUCCCUGGCCUCACUCAGUGGGUUAAGGAUCCGGCAUGGCCAUGAGCUAUGGUUAGGUCACAGAUGUGGCUCGGAUCCUGAGUUGCUGUGGAUGUGGUGUAGGUGGGCAGCUGUAGUUCCGAUUCAACCCCUGGCCUGGGAACUUCCAUAUGCCAUGGUACAGCCUUAAAAAAGACAUUAAAAAAAAAAAAAAAAAAAAAAAAAGGAAAAAAGAGGUGAGUUGGAGCAGGGCUGGGAAAUUGCUAGAUGUUGGUAAGUAAUUAUCAAAACUAGAGGAAUUCUAGAGAGGCCUAGACUAGGGAAAGAGAGGAAGGAGAUAGCUUUUCUUCUGCAGUGGCAGUUAUGACAAGGACAGGAUACACCUGGCAGAAGGAAACUGAAGUUAGCAGAAGUAGUGAGCCCGAAAGAGAACCUUAUGAAGCAUUCUGCUUCCAGAGGAGGCACACAUAAAGUGAUUAGGGUGUCAUCUUGGAAGGUCAAGAAAAAACUCUAAAAGAGGGAAGGGAAUGUUCACUUGGUCAGACUGUGGAUUUCAUGUUAGUUUGGAUGAAAGAUGAGCAUCGUUGUGUAGCGCUCUGAAGGGGAUGUGUUAAGACAAAUUACAAUGACCAGGAUAAAUCUAUUGAAAGCUCUGGACCUAGGAGAUGCUGCAUAAGAGUUUCUGGAUCUGAGCUUCCUAUAUGUUCUGAACAACUGAUUAAUCACGUUGUUCAUUCAUCAGUUGAAGGACCCAUAUGGACCAAAAACUAUGCCAAGCACUGGGGAUGCAGUGAUGGAGAAGACACAGUCUCUGCCCUCCAGGAGCUCACAGACAAGCAAUAACUAAAACAGCAGUUAGUAUUAUGAGAAGGAUAAGCACAGGGCACCAAAUUCAGCUUCGGUGAGAUCAGAGAAGGCUCACCAGAAGAAGUGGGGCUUAUGUGGAGACUAGGAGUAUCCACUGUAGCCAGAGGAGGUGAUGGAGAAUAGCAUGUGCAAAGGUCCUGAGGCAGGAGAGGGCUUAGCAAAUGAGGGAAACGAAGCAGCUCAGUAUGGCUGGAGUAUGGACAGUGAAAGGGAAAUUGGCCAGACAUGGUGUAAAAAAGUAAGCAGAAGCCAGAUCAUAAAGGGUCUUGUGAAUAAUGAUCAGUGGAAUGGGGAAUCAGAGGGAGGCAGUGAAGAACCACUGAAGGGAAAGGAAAUGAAGCAAAUCUUCAAGCUUCAUUUUUUCACCUAAAAAAUUUAGAAAUCAUUCCACCUUCCUCAGUGAGUUAUACUAAAUACCAAAUAAAAAUGUAUGAGAACUUUGUAAAGUUUACUAAAAAAACCUUUCCCUCAACUUGCAGAAUAGUUUACAUUAAAUUUGUCUUCUUUGCAUGAAAGACAUGAAUUCCAUCAGCAUACAUACCAUGUACCAGCUCUUUAUCACUUAGCUUAUACUUCUUUGACAAGUGGGAAAAAAAAAAGGGAAACAAUAAAAAACACCAACUUUCCCUCUGCAGGUCAUUACUCAGGUCACAGGAGGCCCACUCUGACUUGCCAACUUAAAAAUCCAAUGGGCACACCCCCCCUCGCGGGUCCCUCUUAGCCUGCUCUACUUUUAUUUUUUCCAUUGCACUUAUUUCCUUUUGGCAUUCUAUAAUAUUUAUUAUGUAUUCAUUGAUAUAUAAGCUCCUUGAGUGCAAGGAUCUUCAUCAGUUUUUUUGUUUGUUUGUUUGUGGUUUUUUUUUUGUCUUUUUAGGGCCGCACCUGCAGCACAUGGAAGUUCCCAGACUAGGGGUCGAAUCAGAGCUGUCAAGUUGGAACCAGCCUACAUCAUAGCCACAGCAACUCAGGAUCCGAGCAGCAUCUGUGACCUACAUCACAGCUCAUAGCAAUGCCAGAUUCUUAACCCACUGAGGGAGGCCAGGGAUUGAA